GCAAGUGUCUGAAGAGACAGAAGUUGAGGUAGAAUAGCUGGGAGUGACUCCAUCUAUAAAUGGAUCUACAAAUGUUAAUAAGGACCCGCACAAAUGUAGCCUCUUCCUUCCCUUGUAAAUUACAGCACGGAGCCGGUUUUAUGGUGAUUAUUUCUUUCCAUGUCUGUUUCUCCUCCUGGAGUGUGAGUCUCUAGAAGGCAGGGUGUGAGUCUCUAUGUGGCACACACAUUCUUUAGGAAAAUCUUUAAAGAAAACAGAAGAUACCAAGAUAAGCAAGCAGGGUAGAGCUUCUGUAUCUUCCACUAGGGGUCAGUAAAACUUUUAUGAGAAUCCUACAGUGGCAUCCUGACUUAGAGAAGGGCAAUUUCUUGUCACCAUUUGUCCCUCAGAAAACACCCACAAGAGGCUGUCCUAUCACUGGAAAAAGUAGCUCAUUCCAAGUUGUUAAACACACAUGAAAAGCACAGCCAAAUAUGUAUUAGACUAGCAUGUCAGUAUAUCAAACAUCAGAAUUUACAUCAGAGACAAAAGUCUCAGCUUAAAUGCAUAGUUUUGAUAAAUACUAAACACGCUAUCUUGCUAAUGAGCAAUCACUGGCUAAUUGUCCAGUGACUAGGGCUAAUUAUCUUGACUCUGGUUGUCAUAGUGCCUGUAUCAUAAAAAUAAGAUUUGAAGUUUCCCUUCUCCUUCUGACUUGAUAUCCAGGUUUGCAAUAGUGCUUAUUGUAAUAUUAUACAGGAAUGUAGAUGGAAUUUAUUAGAAAUAAAGACUUUUGAAAAUAUGUACUAGAUAAAUAAACUCGACUCGCUGCCCUACCAACAGCUAGGGGUGAGCUGUUGAAAAUUGAAAUCAGAUCAUA
rnacentral:lncRNA from 10 species